CAGGAAUUGGAGACUCACCUUUCUUUGACGCUAUUUUAUGCGUUUGGUCUUUGGCUAUGCUAAUUUCCAGAGGCCUUGGUUUAUGAUUGAGUUGUGCAUAAUAGGCCAAAUUAUUCUGGGUCAACUCACUCAUAUUACAAAUAAUCAGCUGGUCUAUUGUGUGCUCAUCUUCAUGGUGCAUUUUCAUUGAAAAUAGAAAUGAAUGAAUUUAUGCAAUACUAUCCCAAGAUCCC
rnacentral:misc_RNA from 1 species